AGUGAACGCUGGCGGUAAGCCUAACACAUGCAAGUCGAACGGCAGCACAGUAAGAGCUUGCUCUUACGGGUGGCGAGUGGCGGACGGGUGAGGAAUACAUCGGAAUCUACUUUUUCGUGGGGGAUAACGUAGGGAAACUUACGCUAAUACCGCAUACGACCUACGGGUGAAAGCAGGGGAUCUUCGGACCUUGCGCGAUUGAAUGAGCCGAUGUCGGAUUAGCUAGUUGGCGGGGUAAAGGCCCACCAAGGCGACGAUCCGUAGCUGGUCUGAGAGGAUGAUCAGCCACACUGGAACUGAGACACGGUCCAGACUCCUACGGGAGGCAGCAGUGGGGAAUAUUGGACAAUGGGCGCAAGCCUGAUCCAGCCAUACCGCGUGGGUGAAGAAGGCCCUCGGGUUGUAAAGCCCUUUUGUUGGGAAAGAAAAGCAGCAGGUUAAUACCCCGCUGUUCUGACGGUACCCAAAGAAUAAGCACCGGCUAACUUCGUG
rnacentral:rRNA from 1 species